AUACGGAGGAUCCGAGCGUUAUCCGGAUUUAUUGGGUUAAAGGGUGCGCAGGCGGCCAUUUAAGUCAGCGGUUAAAUCGUGGGGCUCAACCCCAUUCUGCCGUUGAUACUGGGUGGCUUGAUUGCGGUCGAGGUUGGCGGAAUUCGUUGUGUAGCGGUGAAAUGCAUAGAUAUGACGAAGAACACCGAUUGCGUAGGCAGCUGACCAGACCGCAAAUGACGCUCAUGCACGAAAGUGCGGGGAUCGAACAGGAUUAGAUACCCUGGUAGUCCGCACAGUAAACGAUGAAUACUUGUUUUCGGCGAUAUAAUGUCGGAGGCAAAGCGAAAGCGAUAAGUAUUCCACCUGGGGAGUACGCCGGCAACGGUGAAACUCAAAGGAAUUGACGGGG
rnacentral:rRNA from 1 species